rnacentral:rRNA from 1 species
AACGUAGGUUCCGAGCGUUAUCCGGAUUUACUGGGCGUAAAGCGCGUUCAGGCGGUUUGGCAAGUCGGGCAUGAAAUCUCUCGGCUCAACCGGGAGAGGUUGUCCGAUACUGCUGGACUUGAGGGCAGUAGAGGGUGGUGGAAUUCCGGGUGUAGUGGUGAAAUGCGUAGAUAUCCGGAGGAACACCAGUGGCGAAAGCGGCCACCUGGACUGUACCUGACACUGAGGCGCGACAGCGUGGGGAGCAAACAGG